AAUAUACUCCCUCCGUCCCUAAAUUCUUGUCUCGGAUUUUUCUAGAUAUGGAUGUAUCAAGUCACGUUUUAGUAUUAGAUACAUCUGUAUCUAGACAAAUCUAAGACAAGAAUUUUGGGACGGAGUGAGUACAAG
rfam:Triticum aestivum genome assembly, contig: Triticum_aestivum_CS42_TGACv1_scaffold_001579_1AL